GUCUUACAAGCCUGCCAGAAGUGUGGUCUCCCUCUUCAGUAGGCGCUUUCAACCACAAUUCAAACAUACGAUCUCUCUGCCAUUUUAAAGAUACCUUGCAGUAAUACAUCCUGCAAGCUGGUAAACAAUAUACCAACUGGGAAGAGGUAUGACAGAAUUUGGGCUGCAAAUGUAAAGCUUGCUGCUGAUGUUCGAGGAUAAUGGUCUCAUCCGAACAACCCCACAACUUUCACUUCAAAUGCUGAGUGUUUGCAGAAGGAACAGUUGCUACCUAAUACAUGCCUUAUG